rnacentral:rRNA from 1 species
CCUACGGGUGGCAGCAGUGGGGAAUAUUGCGCAAUGGGCGAAAGCCUGACGCAGCGACGCCGCGUGAGGGAUGAUGGUCUUCGGAUCGUAAACCUCUGUCAGCAGGGAAGAACCGUCACUGUGCUAAUCAGCAGUGAAUUGACGGUACCUGCAAAGGAAGCACCGGCUAACUCCGUGCCAGCAGCCGCGGUAAUACGGAGGGUGCGAGCGUUAAUCGGAAUUACUGGGCGUAAAGCGCUCGUAGGCGGUAUGUCAAGUCAAGGGUGAAAUCCCCGCGCUCAACGUGGGAACUGCCUUUGAAACUGGCAAACUGGAGUGUGUGAGAGGAUAGUGGAAUUCCAGGUGUAGGAGUGAAAUGCGUAGAUAUCUGGAGGAACAUCAGUGGCGAAGGCGACUAUCUGGCACAUAACUGACGCUGAGGAGCGAAAGCGUGGGUAGCAAACAGGAUUAGAUACCCUAGUAGUC